GGGGACAGACGGGACCUGGGGUCAACGAGAGGCACCGGCUCGGGAGACGCACAGCCCAGGAAGCAGGCGCGUCGAAAGCUCCACGCCCAAGCCCAGGCAGAGGGCUCGGCGGGCGCGAGGCUGAGGGCCCAAGAGGCCGGGGCCGCUAUCCCCUCGCCACCGGGACGGCCUCCGGGUCUCCUUGCCCCACCAGAGAAGCCCGCGGCGGCUACUCCGAGGCGCGAGGGCAAGGCCGCAGCGGGCAGCGAUGGAGCAAAUGCAGACAACACACGACGCGGACAGACGGAAGCCACCGCGGCGUCUCCGGGGCCGCAGUUCUAUAAAGGCGCGCUGAGCCGCAUCACGCUGCUCGUUUCCUUCCGCGCGGGGCCGGCGCUACUUCCCUCCCGACCAGGCCGCCGGGCCCGGAGGAGCAGAGACGUCGGCAAGGCAGCAACCGCCCGCAGCGGCUUUUCGCCUGCUUCCUCCGCUCGCUCUAGAGGGCACAGCGAGGCGCGGGGCUCCGCAUGCCGCUUCCCCGCCACGGAGGUGGCCGCCGCGCUCCGGCCUGCUGUAAAGGACCGAGCAGGAAGAGCGGUCUCUGGUUUCUGUGGUAUCUGGGGACAGUUUCCCGGCGCGAGGGAAACAAAGAUGCUGGCGUGGAGCGGCCUGCCCGUCGCUAUUGUCUGGCUGCCUGUCAGGGAGCAGCCGCUUUCGCUUUCUUCUACCGAACGGAACGUGGUGACUCGGGGGCCGCGGAGCGCCCUCGAGGCAGCUUUGUCUGUGGAAAAGGAGCGCGGCGGGCGGCCUAUGGGAAUGGUCACCGCCCGCUUUCCGCGGGAGGCGCGCCAGGGACCGCGGGGCGAUUUCUCCGCCUUAGCGAAAGAAAGGAGAAGCCGGGAUUUGUGGCCGCUCCGUCUUCGUUCCGAUUUGAGCUCUGGCGUCGGCGCGAGGGGACAGUGCUGUCAGCGCGCACCCCCUCCGUCGCUGUCAGGGUCGUGCUCCUUAGGUUUCCUGCGGUUUUUCUGCUGCUUUGAGACAGUGUCUGGGACCAAGUUCUCACAACAUCGUCUUCUCUUCUCGCAAAUAAUCGUUUUACCAUGUUGUUCUGCUGAAUCCACCGGGCGCCUCAGACACGGGCCCUGA
rnacentral:lncRNA from 1 species